rnacentral:rRNA from 1 species
CACACUAUCAUUACGUGAAUACAUAGCGUAAUGAAGCGAACCGGGGGAACUGAAACAUCUAAGUACCCCGAGGAAAAGAAAUCAACCGAGAUUCCCCCAGUAGCGGCGAGCGAACGGGGAGCAGCCCAGAGUCUGAAUCAGCAUGUGUGUUAGUGGAAGCGUCUGGAAAGUCGCACGAUACAGGGUGAAAGUCCCGUACACAAAAGUGCAUGUGUUGUGAACUCGAAGAGUAGGGCGGGACACGUGGUAUCCUGUCUGAAUAUGGGGGGACCAUCCUCCAAGGCUAAAUACUCCUGACUGACCGAUAGUGAACCAGUACCGUGAGGGAAAGGCGAAAAGAACCCCGGCGAGGGGAGUGAAAAAGAACCUGAAACCGUGUACGUACAAGCAGUGGGAGCACCCUUUGGGGUGUGACUGCGUACCUUUUGUAUAAUGGGUCAGCGACUUAUAUUCUGUAGCAAGGUUAACCGAAUAGGGGAGCCGAAGGGAAACCGAGUCUUAACUGGGCGUUAAGUUGCAGGGUAUAGACCCGAAACCCGGUGAUCUAGCCAUGGGCAGGUUGAAGGUUGGGUAACACUAACUGGAGGACCGAACCGACUAAUGUUGAAAAAUUAGCGGAUGACUUGUGGCUGGGGGUGAAAGGCCAAUCAAACCGGGAGAUAGCUGGUUCUCCCCGAAAGCUAUUUAGGUAGCGCCUCGUGAAUUCAUCUUCGGGGGUAGAGCACUGUUUCGGCUAGGGGGUCAUCCCGACUUACCAACCCGAUGCAAACUGCGAAUACCGAAGAAUGUUAUCACGGGAGACACACGGCGGGUGCUAACGUCCGUCGUGAAGAGGGAAACAACCCAGACCGCCAGCUAAGGUCCCAAAGUCAUGGUUAAGUGGGAAACGAUGUGGGAAGGCACAGACAGCCAGGAUGUUGGCUUAGAAGCAGCCAUCAUUUAAAGAAAGCGUAAUAGCUCACUGGUCGAGUCGGCCUGCGCGGAAGAUGUAACGGGGCUAAACCAUGCACCGAAGCUGCGGCAGCGACACUAUGUGUUGUUGGGUAGGGGAGCGUUCUGUAAGCCGUUGAAGGUGUAUCGUGAGGUAUGCUGGAGGUAUCAGAAGUGCGAAUGCUGACAUAAGUAACGAUAAUGCGGGUGAAAAACCCGCACGCCGGAAGACCAAGGGUUCCUGUCCAACGUUAAUCGGGGCAGGGUGAGUCGACCCCUAAGGCGAGGCCGAAAGGCGUAGUCGAUGGGAAACAGGUUAAUAUUCCUGUACUUGGUGUUACUGCGAAGGGGGGACGGAGAAGGCUAUGUUAGCCGGGCGACGGUUGUCCCGGUUUAAGCAUGUAGGCGGGA